GAUGAACGCUGGCGGCGUGCCUAAUACAUGCAAGUCGAACGAAACUUCUUUAUCACCGAGUGCUUGCACUCACCGAUAAAGAGUUGAGUGGCGAACGGGUGAGUAACACGUGGGCAACCUGCCCAAAAGAGGGGGAUAACACUUGGAAACAGGUGCUAAUACCGCAUAACCAUAGUUACCGCAUGGUAACUAUGUAAAAGGUGGCUAUACUACCGCUUUUGGAUGGGCCCGCGGCGCAUUAGCUAGUUGGUAGGGUAAAGGCUUACCAAGGCAAUGAUGCGUAGCCGAAUUGAGAGGUUGAUCGGCCACAUUGGGACUGAGACACGGCCCAAACUCCUACGGGAGGCAGUAGUAGGGAAUCUUCCACAAUGGGCGAAAGCCUGAUGGAGCAACGCCGCGUGGGUGAAGAAGGUCUUCGGAUCGUAAAACCCUGUUGUUAGAGAAGAAAGUGCGUGAGAGUAACUGUUCACGUUUCGACGGUAUCUAACCGGAAAGCCACGGCUAACUACGUG
rnacentral:rRNA from 1 species